CUGUAGCGCAUCAGCCAUCCGUGAUAUGAAUUAUACUGUGUUGCUUUCAUGCUUGUUUUAAUGAGUGCAGCCAGGUCCAAAUACACUGGAGAAUAUUAUGGAGGCAGCAUGCCAAUGGGGGUCUUUUCUGAUUCUGAGAAAAAGUUUAAAAGUCUCUCUUCUAUUGUGAUGAUUAGAAAAUGAUUGAGCCAACUGUGCAGGUAAAGUUAUUGAGCUGGUCAACUGGUGACAAAUUCUCACCUCUGAGUUAAUCCACACUCCUGUCAGGUGUGACUUUCAACAGUGGCUAUAAAAGACUACCUUGAAAUGCAGCUCUUUUCAAAUGAAACAAUGCCACAGUCAAAGUCAAGCACUUAAAUGUCCACAACUCAACCAUUUACCUCUAAGAAAUCAUUUCAGUCAGCAUGGUACGACAGACAAGCUGCCACAUGAUGUUGUGGAUGGAUGUCAAAUGUCUGUCAACUUCACCCAGACCUUCAGGAAAAUGAGACAACAUUCAACAAGCAGCAUGGACAACUUCAAUAACUCUAUAUGUCACACGUGUAAUUUGAUAACUUGUGAUCUCUGGUCUGUGACUUUACUCUCCAUCUGCCAGUUAUUACUUUCUAUAUAGUGUGUACUUGCUUGUCUCAUGAUGUCUAUUCUGUUGUAGAGGUGCUGAAUGAAGCACUAGCAUUUAUUCCCAUAUGUUGAAAGAAUGGGUACAAUUUAACAAAAUACUCAAAUGCUGCAUCUUUUUGUUCCAGAUAGGUUUUAUGAAAAUUAUGACUGCUUUGACACCAUGAAACAACCACAACCAUGACAUCAACAACUGCUAAAUACAGAGACUGCACAUUUAGACUGACCCUUGUUUUGAGCACCUUUGCACUAACAUCAUAAGCCUGAUUACACUUUGAUUACGGCUUCCUGGGCCACUGACGUGCCGGUCGGAAGUGGGUCGGCUCAGCAUUAGAGGGUGUGAAGGUUGUAGUCUGGAUGCUGGUUCAAUAAUCAGGCUGGCUGUCUGUAGCGCAUGGCUGGCUUUGUAUCAUUCAGACCUCAGAGCUGAUCCUACCUUCCAGUCAGUGCUCCUGCCUUCCCUUCACAUCAACCUCCUGUCCUCAUAUACCAACCCGGAGGCUCUCCAUCUGGAUAACAUGGCCGAGGCCCUGGCAUCCAGCUCCACCGAGGAUGGUCAGACUGCACAGUGGAAGUUUUCCAGCCCACGCAGCAGGAAGUCUGGCUGCUCCAACAUCUUCACAGGAGUGAACCUUCAUCAGCUGCAAAGGCUGUUCAGAACAGCAGGAGACAGAAACGCUGAACACCGGGCGAAGCUAGUGUGGCGAGGAAUGGAUGCAGACAUGGAGGGAGCAGAGGAGGAAAAGGAGGAGAGUGGGAUGGAGAGAGAGGAUGAAGCAGGGCUGGCUCAGGCGCUGGUGGGGCUCAGAGUCCGAGCGAGAAAUAAGGCAGGAAUCAGAGUGGAGGGACACCGAGAGCACAAGUGGCUCAGAGCAUCAGGAUAUCUCAGGAUUGAGGAGCCACUGACUGGUGAGGAAGUCGACCAAGUGCCAAGUUCAGGAGAAUUUCUGCUGCCAAGUGAGGAAGGCUUCUCAGAGAACCAAAAUCCCUUUAAACCCUCAUCAUGGAGGUUAGGCGUAGCGAGGAUGGAGGGUGCCAGAGACUCUGAACGCUACCUUCACCACAUCCUUCAUUAAAAACUGGAGUCUGGAAUAACACUCAGUGAUGGAAGAUGCAAGAAAACUGAAGUCAUGAAUUAAAAGACUGAUUUUGGAUGAAAAGACAUACUGCAUCAUCUGCUAUCAUGGGUUAUACAUGUUAGACCGCAGCACAAACGACUGAAAUCUGCUAAAACAGCUCCUUCAGCAGAAGGCUGAGACAUCCACCCUGCAAGAAGGAGCGCUAUCGUAGAUCAGUCAUUCCAUCUGUUUUAAGACGUUACAACAUCAGCAUCACUGGCUGAUGUGAACAUAAACUGGACUUUAUCAUAUCAACAUCUCAAACCAUGGAGAAAUCUCAACAAUUUUUUUGCACAGCUGGCAUCUUGCACUUUUAUAGUUGCAUUUAUUCCACAAGCCACUUUAUGUUGCUGUCGUUUGUAGUGUAGUAAUACUGUAUUUAUUCAUUUUUCAUUCUUGUAUAUAUUAUUGUCAUUAUUAUUACUAUACAUACACUAGGUACUUCUGUGAAAGAUGUUGCUGCUGUAACAAUGGAAAUGUCCCUUGGCAUGGGGAGUAAUAAAGGAUUAUCUUAUCCUAUCUUAUCUUAAA